CCGGCUGGGAUCCCUCGAUCGUUCCGCACGCUUAGAGUUCGGGACAUCUCCUCCUAGCACAGUCCGGGACUCUAUAUUCAGCUGUGUCAUUAGGCUGGACCUGCCGGGUGUCCCCGGGCCCCCAGCGCGCCAGACGCGCAGCAGGUGCACUGCCGCCGGGUGUAGGAGUGAGGGAGCCGAACGAGCGUUCCCCCGGCGCGCAGCCUUGGUGGGGGUAGGAAGGCCGCACUCGCAGUCGCCGCCCCCCACCCCCACCCCCACCCCCGGGACCCCGCGGCGCCCUCCGCUCCCCCACGCGGCGCCGGAAGCGGCCCGCCCGUCCCCCUCCCCGGGGCGCCCGCCGCCUUAUCUCGGCGCCUCCGGGCCGCAGGAGGAGUCGCGGGCGCGCGGGGUGGGAAGUGGCGGUGGUAUGGCCCGGGGGCCCCGGGGCGCGGGCUUCCCGCCUGGCCGCCUGCUGUCGCUCCUGCUGCUGCUGCUGCUGCUCUGCCUGGCCCGCGGCGCGCCCCGGACGCCCGGCGCAGACGAUUCAGAUGUCUGUGCCAGUUGCCAUAAACAUGCUACGUGUGAGCAAAGAGAAGGAAAGAAGAUGUGUAUUUGCAAAUAUGGAUUUGUGGGCAAUGGGAGGACUCACUGUAUUGAUAAAAACGAGUGCCAGUUUGGAGCCACCGUGGUCUGUGGGAACCACACAUCUUGCCACAAUACACUUGGAGGCUUUUACUGCAUUUGCUUAGAAGGAUAUCGAGCCACCAACAACAACAAGACGUUCAUCCCCAAUGAUGGCACCUUUUGCACAGACAUAGAUGAGUGUGAGGUUUCCGGCCUGUGCAGGCACGGAGGACGGUGUGUGAACACUCAUGGGAGCUUUGAAUGCUACUGUAUGGACGGACACCUGCCGAAGAGCGGGCCUGAGCCUUUCCAUCCCACCCGAGAUGCCACGUUAUGCACAGAAAUAGACUGCGGCACCCCUCCUGAGGUCCCAGAUGGCCAUAUCAUAGGAAAUUAUACCUCCAGGUUUGGCAGCCAGGUUCGUUAUGCUUGCAAGGAAGGAUUUUUCAGUGACCCAGAAGAUACAGUUUCAAGCUGCACAGCCUCGGGCACAUGGGAGUCCCCAAAAUUAAAUUGCCAAGAGAUCAACUGUGGGCGCCCUCCGGAAGUGCCGCACGCGGUCCUGGUGGGCAAUCACAGCUCCAGCCUGGGUGGUGUGGCUCACUACGUCUGUCAAGAGGGCUUUGAGAGCUCUGGAGGAAAGAUCACUUCCGUUUGCACAGGGAAAGGCACCUGGAGAGCAAGUGCUUUCACGUGUACAGAAAUAAUUAUAGAAAUUAAUGACUUAGCAGUAUUUAAUAACACCUGCGUGAGAUGGCAAAGAAACCCAAGAAGAAUAAACUCUGAGCUCGUGUAUGAGAUACACAUAAAAGGACAACGGUUGGAUCCAAUGGAAUCAGUUCACGAGGAGACAGUUAAUUUGACCACGAACAGCAGGACCCCGGAAGUGUGCCUGGAUCUGCACCAGGGCACCAACUACACCGUGAGCAUUUCUACCACCCCUCCCAGGCGCUCUGUGCCAGCCGUCAUUGCGUUCCAGACAGCUGAAGAUGACCUCUUAGAAGAUGAUGGAAUUUUCAAUAUUUCAAUGUUUAAUGAAGCUUGUCUGAAAUUGCACAGGCAUUCUAGGAAAGUUGGAUCAGAACAGGUGUACCAAUUUAAAGUUCUGGGUCAAAGGCAGUAUCUGAAUAAUUUUUAUCACUCAACAUCAUUUAACUUCACAACGAGGGAACGAGCUGCCGUCCUGUGUUUAGAUCUGUAUCCGGCAACUGAUUACACAGUGAAUGUCACCCUCCUGGGAUCCCCCGAGCGGCACUCAGUGCAAAUAACGACAACCACCGCACCAGCAGUAAAACAGACCAUCAGUAACAUUUCAGUAUUUAAUGAAACCUGCUUGAGAUGGAGAAGCAUGAAGACAGCUGAUAUAGAGGAGAUGUAUUUAUUCCGCAUUCGAGGCCAGAGAUGGUAUCAGAAGGCAUUUGCCCAGGAAGUGAUCUUUAAUAUCACUGCCAGCAGCCAAACUCCUGAGACGUGUUUGGACCUGAGUCCAGGUACCAACUACAGUAUCAGCAUCCAGGCUUUGUCUUCUGAACUUCCCGUGGUCAUCUCCCUGACAACCCGGAUAACAGAGCCUCCCCUUCCGGAAAUAGACUUUGUCACUGUGCACGGAGGGCCUCUACCGCGUCUGAGACUGAGGAAAGCCGAGGAGAUAAACGGGCCUAUCAGUUCAUAUCAGGUGUUAGUGCUUCCCCUGGCCCUCCAAAGCACAUUUGUUUGUGAUUCUGAAGAGGCUCCCUCCUUCUUUAGCAAUGCUUCUGAUGCCAAAGGAUAUGUGACUGCAGAACUGCUGGCCAAAGACAUUCCGAAUGAUGCCAUGGAGAUAUCUAUCGGAGACAGGCUAUACUAUGGGAAAUAUUAUAACGCACCCUUGAAAAAAGGGAAUGAUUACUGCAUUAUAUUGCGAAUCACAAGUGAACUGAAUAAGAUUCAUCACUGACGCUGCAGCAGGUGGUGGGCGUUGGGCUGGGCUCCAUGGCUGCUGUGAUUGUUCUCGCAUUCCUCUCCUUCUCAGCAGUGUGAUCGAGGAUGGGUGUGGCGUGAAGAGGAUGCACUGCUGCUGGGGUAGAUGUUCCGACAGCUUCUCAGGUGCCUGCACAGAGGCCCCGAGCAUGUGUGUGUGCGUGUGCGUGUGUGUGUGCGUGCGUGUGUGUGUGUGUGUGCGGGCCUGCACCUUUCUCUACUCCCAGGCUGGCCUCCCUUCCAGAUUCAAGCCGGUGACUGUCUCUUUGGAAUGUCCCUCAAAGAGGACACUCAGGAGUCGCUGUUGUCUGCCCUGCUACCUGACCAGUUCCGUUUCCAUGGACUUGAGAACCUUGAUAAACAACGUCAUAUGGACUCCGGGCUACGGGUCACAGGGGCUGGGUCACUGUUCUCCUCUGAGUGAUGCCUGAGCCUCGGCUCCUCUAGGUGCUGAAUGCAAGAGUCCCACAUCUUCCUCUGUAACAUCUCUGGCCUUAAUUCAGAAUCCAUUCUUUUACCAUAAGUAACGAGAGAGACUUAACUGUGGGCUAGAAUUUGACAUUAUGAAGGAAGUCAUUGAAAAGGAGAGAGAUCAUUGAUAUAGACAAACAUGACAAACCCUUUAGAAGCCCUUUUCCUACAGUUAGUGGAUGCAGUAAUUAGAAAGUAUGCGCGUCUGGCCACUCGGGUAAAUUCCCUGCAGUGUCUGUUAGGCAGCGUUGCUUUGAUACAGCUCUGUUUGUCUUAUAUGCAUUCAAAAGCCAGGAGUCUUCAUUCCAGUGGAAAUGUUUUGUUAGUAAACUAACAUUUUUUUUUUCUCACAUGAAUGUUUAUAGCAGCCUAGGCUACUUUUUUUUUUUUUUUUUUUUAAUUCCUGAGCAUCUCCUAAAGAUGCUCUGUGCCUCCCUUUGGAUUUGGGGGUUGUGCGGUAUCCUUGUGUUGCAACAAUAUGAAGCCCAUGACCAGAGUCUGUGAGUUGACAGGGGAGGGGAACAAUGUGGGUGACACAAUGGUCCCUUUUAUCUACAACACCAGGAAUUAUGACUGUUCCUUUAUCAUGAACCAUGACAUGUUAGCUGUAUGCAGUCCCGGGGCCCACUGUCAAUAUGUGGAAUGUACAGGUGGAAUGGAUUCGCUUUGAUUUUUCAAGCCUGAAUCAGUGUUCAUGAACUUUCCUCCCUAACCAACAGCGUAGCUCCAAGGCUAAGCCAGGGAAUGAAGGGAGAAGAAGGACUGGGGCUUGGGGCUUCUCUAAGUGACAGUGGUGUCCUCCUCUGCCUUCUCCCUCCCUCUUAGGCCUAGAGAAUAGAGAACAGGUGGAGGUGGGGGGGCAGUGAUAGUGCAUAGCUCAGGGUGCAGCAUCUAUGAAUGUGGUCCUGGACUUGGCAGCAGCACAGUGUGGAGGAAAAGGGACCGUCUUUCCAACAUGGUGGGCUGGCAUGUUCUCCGUGGACUCACUGGGCAUUGGUGAGGGGUGGAUCUGAGCAGCCUGGGCUUGUGGGCAGAUGAGGAGACAUGAGGAACAGUAGGCACAGGAGGAGGAGAUGCUCCAUGAAGCUGCCCAUCCCUGGGGGAUCUGGCCCAAGGCAAAUCCUCUCAACUGGGAAGAGUCAGAGACAGGGAAGUGAUAUACUGACGCUUGGGCAUUCGAGGGCAGGUGGCAGCCCUGCCCCUCACCAAUACUAGGCAGAUUAAGAAUAGCUGUCCUCUGUCCUCUGAGGUCCCAACUCAGACUACAACUCAGGAUCAACACAUGGAACCCUUCCUGCUGUCGUCUUCGAUGAAUUAUUGGGUAGAACUUUCAAUGGACUUAUACAAAGAGCUUUCUACCUUUAAUGUUCAUGUGCAACAAUUCAAACUCAUACUGUUUUCACUGCUCUUGAAUUAAUUUUUUAUUUUUAAUUUUUUAUUAUAGUUGAUUUACAAUGUGCUAUCAAUUUCUGCUGUACAGCAAAAUGACCCAGUUAUAUAUAUGUGUGUGUAUAUAUAUAUAUACACACACACACACAUUCUUUUUCUCAUAUUAUCUUCUAUCAUGUUCUAUCACAACUGACUGGAUAUACAGCAGGACCUCGUUGCUUAUCCAUUCUAAAUGUAAUAGUUUGCAAAUCUACUAACCCCAAACUCCCAGUCUAUCUCACUUCCUCCCCCUUACCCCUGGCAACCACGAGUCUGUUCUGUAUGUCCAUGAGUUUUUUUCUGUUCUCUCGAUAGGUUCUUUUGUGCCAUAGUUUAGAUUCCACAUAUAAGGGAUAUCAUAAGGUAUCUGUCUUCCUCUUUCUGACUUACUUCACUUAGUACGAGAAUCUCUACUUCCAUCCAUGUUACUGCAAAUGGCAUUGUUUCCAUGGCUUGGCUAUUGCUAAUAGUGCUACAGUGAACAUAGGGGUGCAUGUAUCUUUUACAAUGAAAGUUUUGCCUAAAUGUAUGCCCAGGAGUGGGAUUGCUGGAUCACAUGGUAGAUCUAUAUUUAGUUUUCUGAGGUGCCUCCAUACUGUUUUUUUUUUUUAAAUUAAAUUUAGAAUCAUGGGAGUUCCUGUUGUGGUGCAGCAGAAAUGAAUCUGACUAGGAACCAUGAGGUUGCGGGUUCGAUCCCUGGCCUCACUUGGUGGGUUAAGGAUCCCGCGUUGCUGUGGCUGUGGUGUAGGCUGGCGGGUACAGCUCCAAUUAGACCCCCUAGCCUGGGAACAUCCAUAUGUCAUGGGUGCGGCCCUAUAAAGACAAAAAUAAAAAAAAUAAAAAAGAAUAAAUAAAUUUAGAAUCAUUACAAAUUAUUGUGCUUAGUAUUGGGUAGAGUCUUUGAUGAGUAAGGAUUUUCCUCAAAACCUCCUCUGUCCAAAGAGAGAAUGUGAGCCUCUGCCCCUUAUUAUAGUUUUUCCUGGUUCUAUAAACACUAUGUUUCUCUAGUUCCCCUAAUUUCCAGUUUUAAAAUUAAUUACCAAAGAAGCUAUAGCUUCUCUCCAAAAGUUAGCAUAAUUGUCAUUGAAAGGAAGAAAUCCCAUUUGCUUGGUAUCAAAAGUUUUUGGUUAAAAUAAUUGACUAAAUAUUAAUAAAGUAUAUUUCUGGGUAUAUGCAGAAGUGUAAAAACAGUUCAUGAAUGAGUUCUGAAAUAGCAAAACAUAAACUUGUCCCUUUCUCUAAAUGGUCCAAGUUAUAACACAGAGUUAUACAGUGUUUUUUUAUUAAAAAUUUUUUUUUUUUAUGGCCACACCUGUAGCGUAUGGAUCAAAUCUCAGCCAUAGUUGUGACCUAUGCCACAAAUGCUGCAAUGCCAGCGCCGGGCUGGGGAUUGGAUCCGCAGCUCCAUAUUGACCUGAGCUGCUGCAGAUGGGUUCUUAACCACUACACCACAGAGGGAACUCCUUUCAAUUUUUUUUUUUUAAACUUUGAACUGUUAGUACUUAACAGAAGCAGGUGCUGAGCAUUUGCACCAUUUUCCUGCAUUUCUUUUCUGUUUGUUUUCUUAUGCACAUGAAGGCAGCUUUAAGUUCUGUGAAGUUGCCCAGUAGCUUGACCUCAAUGCUGUUCUUUUUCUUUUCCAAGUGGAUUCCUGGUUAAGGCAGGGAGAGCAUCUCUGGAGACCAAUAGUGGGUCUCCCUAGGAGCAGGCAGGGUACCUCUGUUGAAGGACUGAUCAGGCAGCAUUUGAAGUUGGGUUUUGAGUGCUGCUAAAUAAAGCUAGAGCCUCAGGUGGUGGUGGAGGAUGGACCUUUUCCUAAUUAACUGUCUUGGGGACAGUGUGAAGAGGUGAGUCUAAGAUCUGGUCUUGAGCUCCCUUCUAGAAUAGGGAACCAAACUGGGAGGUUGUCCAGAUAUGGGGCAGAUUGUUCCCUGGUGGAUUUCUUUUUUAAAAAUCUCCACCAUAGUUUUCAUUUAUAUUUGUUCUUUCAUUCCAUCCUUAUGGUUGUUCUGUGUGAUGGGAAGUUUAGGGGUUGUCAUUUCCCUAUUUUAGAAUGGAGAGAUGGGUUCAGACAGAUACAUAACUUUAUUUUUCCUUUUUUUUUUAGGGCCGCGCCCACAGCAUAUGGAAAGUCCCAGGCUAGGGGUCGAAUCAGAGCUGCAACUGCUGGCCUGCACCAUAGCCAUAGCAAUGCAGGAUCCGAGCUAUGUACCACAGCUCCUGGCAAUGCCAGAUCCUUAACCCACUGAGUGAGGCCAGGGAUUCAACCUGCAUCCUCAUGGAUCCUAGUCGGGUUUGUUACCACUGAGCCACGAUGGGAACUCCCAGAAAGAUACGUAACUUAAAUGAUGGGGCCAAGUAUUUUGCCUGCAAGUUCAGUUCUCAUUCCUGGGAUUUGACAGGAUUCUUUUGGUUCUUAGGAGAGUCAGGCCUUUACUUUUCCAAAUUAUAUAUAUUUUAAAGCAUCGCAUUUAUUCUUCCAGCACCUCUGUCUUUUUAUACUUCUUUUUUCACGGUAAUGUACCUUCCCCCAUCACUUCUAGAAAGAGCCACAGACAACCCAAAUAGAUGGAGGUUAAUUAGGGAAAAUAAGUGUAAUCUGUCCAUGACUCCAGACCUAAAAUUGCAGCUGGGCCCUUAAGAUUAAGACCAGAGCAGAAGUAUUUAUCUUGAAAUACCACAGUAGCUUGGAAUAAAGUUAAUAUUUAAAUUGAUUUUAAAGGAAGUAAAAAAAAACAAUUCUCAAUGCUCCCUUUUUAUUGCUAAUCUCAUAUUCUGAUUUUCUUAACCUUUUAUUUUUCCAUUCUCUAACAAAGAGAGAACCCGUGGUAGUAGCAGUCACAAGUGUUUUGAGGACCUUUUGUCCACCACAGCCAUUGCUGGUUAAACUUAAGUGCCCAGUUUUGGCAUGGCUUUUCCGUGCCCAAUUGCGGGUAGGCGAUGCGGUGAGCCAAAUCAAUUAAAAGGGCAGUGUAUACCCAUUGUAUUAGGUGGGAGAGAAAGAGAAUGAAUGAGUGAUUUUGUGUGUGUGUGUCCAUAUCCAUACUUUUGGGGCACAACUCAGGGUUACCAAAACGGGGUCCCACUAGGCAUGUAGUUUGUAACACAUUUCUUUUCAUCCAUCAACCUACCUUGGACACAUUCUUCAUGUCAGUAAUGACAGCAUUAGGAGUUCCCGUUGUGGCGCAGUGGAAACGAAUCCGACUAGGAACCCUGAGGUUGCAGAUUUGAUCCCUGGCCUCGCUCAGUGGGU